rnacentral:rRNA from 1 species
AUUGAACGCUGGCGGAAUGCUUUACACAUGCAAGUCGAGCGGCAGCGCGGGGGCAACCCUGGCGGCGAGCGGCGAACGGGUGAGUAACAUAUCGGAACGUACCCCGUCGUGGGGGAUAACACAGCGAAAGCUGUGCUAAUACCGCAUACGACCUGAGGGUGAAAGCGGGGGAUCGCAAGACCUCGCGCGAUGGGAGCGGCCGAUAUCGGAUUAGCUUGUUGGUGAGGUAAAGGCUCACCAAGGCGACGAUCCGUAGCUGGUCUGAGAGGACGACCAGCCACACUGGAACUGAGACACGGUCCAGACUCCUACGGGAGGCAGCAGUGGGGAAUUUUGCGCAAUGGGGGAAACCCUGACGCAGCAACGCCGCGUGAGUGAUGAAGGCCUUCGGGUCGUAAAGCUCUGUCAAGUGGGAAGAACCUGCCUUGCGAUAAUACCGCGAGGCACUGACGGUACCACUGAAGGAAGCACCGGCUAACUCCGUGCCAGCAGCCGCGGUAAC